UCGGGGUGCGCAGGCGCGAAAACUUUACAAUGCCGGCAACGGCGAUAAGGGAACCUCGAGUGCCAGGUUACAAAUCUGGCUGUCGUGAUGCCUAAAAAGCAUUGCAUAGCAAGGGCCGGGCAAGACCGGUGCCAGCCGCCGCGGUAACACCGGCGGCUCGAGUGGUAACCGUUAUUAUUGGGUCUAAAGGGUCUGUAGCCGGCCGGGUAAGUCUCUUGGGAAAUCUGGCAGCUUAACUGUCAGGCUUUCAGGAGAUACUGCCUGGCUCGAGGCCGGGAGAGGUGAGAGGUACUUCAGGGGUAGGGGUGAAAUCUUGUAAUCCUUGAAGGACCACCAGUGGCGAAGGCGUCUCACCAGAACGGACCUGACGGCAAGGGACGAAAGCUAGGGGCACGAACCGGAUUAGAUACCCGGGUAGUCCUAGCCGUAAACGAUACUCGCUAGGUGUCGGCCACGGUGCGACCGUGGUCGGUGCCGUAGGGAAGCCGUGAAGCGAGCCACCUGGGAAGUACGGCCGCAAGGCUGAAACUUAAAGGAAUUGGCGGGGGAGCAC
rnacentral:rRNA from 1 species